CACAAACACUGCCGCCCCCCUCCGGAGCACAGGAAGGAAUGAAGAAGUUCCACCUGAGCCUCCCAACCACACUGGCUUCCUUGUGGUCCCAGCUGUCUAGAGUGUGAGUUCCUGCUACCUGGUCCCAGGCAAUAUUCAAAGUGUGUUCUGAAUUUUAAAGGUGCGAUAACAAGAAUAUAUUUCCUCUGAAUCCAGAAGUCAGCCUGGGUCCUUGAGGUGACCUUGUGGUCUACUUUCUAGAGUCUAACUGCAGGUAAGCACCUCCCAAGGCACCCCCCGAAACCUUGUCCUAUAUGGUCCGAGGGAGC
rnacentral:lncRNA from 1 species